rnacentral:rRNA from 1 species
CCUACGGGAGGCAGCAGUGGGGAAUAUUGGACAAUGGGGGCAACCCUGAUCCAGCCAUGCCGCGUGUGUGAAGAAGGCCCUCGGGUUGUAAAGCACUUUCAGUGAGGAAGAACGCCUGGUGGUUAAUACCCAUCAGGAAAGACAUCACUCACAGAAGAAGCACCGGCUAACUCCGUGCCAGCAGCCGCGGUAAUACGGAGGGUGCGAGCGUUAAUCGGAAUUACUGGGCGUAAAGCGCGCGUAGGUGGCUUGAUAAGCCGGUUGUGAAAGCCCCGGGCUCAACCUGGGAACGGCAUCCGGAACUGUCGAGCUAGAGUGCAGGAGAGGAAGGUAGAAUUCCCGGUGUAGCGGUGAAAUGCGUAGAGAUCGGGAGGAAUACCAGUGGCGAAGGCGGCCUUCUGGACUGACACUGACACUGAGGUGCGAAAGCGUGGGUAGCAAACAGGAUUAGAUACCCCGGUAGUC